CAAUAGCGUAUAUUUAAGUUGUUGCAGUUAAAAAGCUCGUAGUUGGAUUUCGGAUGGGACUUGCUGGUCCGUCGUUUCGAUGUGCACUGGCCAGUCCUAUCUUGUUGUCGGGGACUAGCUCCUGGGCUUCACUGUCCGGGACUAGGAGCUGACGAGGUUACUUUGAGUAAAUUAGAGUGUUCAAAGCAAGCCUACGCUCUGAAUACAUUAGCAUGGAAUAACACGAUAGGACUCUGGCUUAUCUUGUUGGUCUGUGAGACCAGAGUAAUGAUUAAGAGGGACAGUCGGGGGCAUUCGUAUUUCAUUGUCAGAGGUGAAAUUCUUGGAUUUAUGAAAGACGAACUUCUGCGAAAGCAUUUGUCAAGGAUGUUUUCAUUAA
rnacentral:rRNA from 1 species